rnacentral:rRNA from 1 species
AUGCGAUUAUUUUUUUUUGCUCCAGUUGCAUCUGAUCUACAGGUCAUUUCUGCAAUCCUUGAGCUGUUUGGCGAGGCCUCCGGGCUUAGAAUCAACUUUGAGAAAAGCUCCGUCAUGGGCAUCCGGUGUGGGGAAGAGCAGGCCAUGGAGGUCGCGGCUUUCUUUAACUGUCGACACAUCCAGUUUCCCCUGAAGUACCUGGGUCUUCCGCUCUCAAUCUUCAAAUUGAGGAGACAAGACAUUCUGCCCCUGAUUGACAAGUUCUCCAGCAAGUUGAAAGGGUGGAAACCCAAACUGUUGGCGCCAGCAGGCAGAGUGACACUG